rnacentral:rRNA from 1 species
CGGGAAAUCCACUCGCCUAACGAGUGGGCGUCCGGCGGAAACUACAGGGCUUGGGACCGGAAGACUUGAGGGGUACGUCUGGGGUAGGAGUGAAAUCCUGUAAUCCUGGACGGACCGCCGAUAGCGAAAGCACCUCAAGACGACGGAUCCGACAGUGAGGGACGAAAGCUAGGGUCUCGAACCGGAUUAGAUACCCGGGU